GACGAACGCUGGCGGCGUGCUUAACACAUGCAAGUCGAACGGAAAGGCCCUGCUUUUGUGGGGUGCUCGAGUGGCGAACGGGUGAGUAACACGUGAGUAACCUGCCCUUGACUUUGGGAUAACUUCAGGAAACUGGGGCUAAUACCGGAUAGGAGCUCCUGCUGCAUGGUGGGGGUUGGAAAGUUUCGGCGGUUGGGGAUGGACUCGCGGCUUAUCAGCUUGUUGGUGGGGUAGUGGCUUACCAAGGCUUUGACGGGUAGCCGGCCUGAGAGGGUGACCGGCCACAUUGGGACUGAGAUACGGCCCAGACUCCUACGGGAGGCAGCAGUGGGGAAUAUUGCACAAUGGGCGGAAGCCUGAUGCAGCAACGCCGCGUGCGGGAUGACGGCCUUCGGGUUGUAAUCCGCUUUCGCCUGUGACGAGGCGUGAGUGACGGUAAUGGGUAAAGAAGCACCGGCUAACUACGUG
rnacentral:rRNA from 1 species